rnacentral:misc_RNA from 1 species
GCACAGAUAAAAUCUCCCCUUACAGGAUACAAAUGGUGGGUGGGCAAAUUCAAAUAAAAACUUUCCAUACAAUCAUCAGUGAGGCUGAAGAAGCCACCUUAGUAUUCACUUUGCUUCCAUCCUCCCAAUUCUUCUCCAUCAUAUUCAGUUUCCUUCUGAGUGAAGGUCACUCCAACUUGAAUUUCUCCAGAGUAGUUAAGAUUGUCUCCCACCACGUUAUACUUUUGAGGCCGUAACUCGGACACGCCAUUUUCAACUCCAAGAGCUAAUAAAUCUUCCACAUAUAUCGUGGUUUCGCCAAUAAAAUCAUCAGCAGAGAAGGUGUCAUGGUCCAUGAUCUUGAGGAUGAUCUUGAAAUCGUCACCGCUUCCGGGGUACUCCGCUCUGAAUGUAAAUUUCUCAUUCCAUACUGGACCUCCUCCUUCAUUUCGGGCAACACUGCUCUUGCGUUCUUGGCCCUUAUACUGAAUCAGAACAUAAGGGUCAAUUCCACCCAGAAAAUCUGUGCCUCGAAGUCCUUUGGCGUUUACCAAUUUCACCUCCAAAGUUCCAAAGGC